CCGUCCCUCGCCGUCCUUCGCCAUCGCACGCCACCGCACCCCAUCUCUCGAAAUCUGCAGACAUCUUGAUUUUUCCCACGCUGUCUGUCAGGUCUCCGCCGCCACUCGACGCCAGGGCGCCGGGCCUUGUGGGCUGUGCUGCACCUCGGACGGCUUCGCACCAGCCAGCGCCCUCUCUCUCCUGCAGCACUCUGAUCUGCACCCCCUGAGGGGCUUCCACUGUCCGCGGGGUGAGAAUGCCCCUGGGAGUGUCACAUGACUGCCGCCCCAUGUGUGUGAGAGGCGUCCUCUGGGAGAGCAUGGAUCCUGAGGUCCCAGGAUUGUCAGCUGACCUCUGUCCUGUGUGCCCAGUGGCCCCAGGUGACGUGUCUUCAAGAAGAGGCUGAGCUGCGGUGCUUGUAAGGCAGGGUCUCAUUCUGUCACCCAGGCUGGAGUGCAGUGGUGCAAUGAUGGCUCACUGCAGCCUCGACCUGGGCUCAAGUGAUCCUCCACCUCAGCUUCCUGAGUAGCUGGGACCACAGAGUCAUGUGCUGUUCCUGGGGCUUGGAUGAUGUAGGGGAAGCAAGGUGAAAGUGGUAUCCCGUGGUUCCACGUUCUGUCCUGCUGUGGGGCUGUCCCUCACAUGCUUUCAGUGGCUGUUGCAGAGGAAGAGCCUCCGGAAAUCUGCGUGGGUCUCAGCCUUAGAUCCAAGGACAGUCCAAGGAAGUCCUAAGACCAUGGAGUUGGUGAUCUGGGAUCUGGGUUUGCUGAUAUUUCUCACCGUGAAUCUCUUGGUGGUGUUUGUGGGCACGAGAGGGGCAGAGAAUGGAGAGUGAGGCUACCACAUGAAGCGUCACCAGAGCUGCUCCCUGCUGCCUGCUCAGAGCACCCCGGAUCCACUGUUCAAUCUGCACAAGAUUCGGGGUCCAGACAUGGGAGACUUCAGCUGCCUCAGAGGACCGUGGACAGGGAAGGCCAGCCUCGCAUCCCUCUGUCCAUGCCUGGAAUGACUUUAAUAACCAAGAGUUUUAUUUUUGAAUUUGUAGCUGUCGUUCACUUUUUACCCACCCAUUCAAUAAACCUUACAGAAUUGC
rnacentral:lncRNA from 10 species